rnacentral:lncRNA from 1 species
GGAGCGUCACAAGAGACAUUCAGAGGUAAUAAAAAAUAAAACAAACAGUAUCAUGCCUCUUAGCGAAUAAGAGACCGUCCAUUAAAAUACAAUCAGAUGUAAACAAACAGGACCUAAGUCUAGUAGGAGUAGUUUAUAACCUGAAAACUGCCUCGCACUAGAGACUAGAGAGAGUAAUUUAAUGUUGCUCCACAGCUGUAUCUAGACAGUUGUGGAGGUG